GAAAUGCGAUAAGUAAUGUGAAUUGCAGAAUUCAGUGAAUCAUCGAAUCUUUGAACGCACCUUGCGCCCCUUGGCAUUCCUUGGGGCAUGCCUGUUUGAGUGUCAUGUAAUUCUCAACCUCUUUGAUUUGUAAAAGAAUUGCAAGAGGCUUGGAUUUGGAGGUUUUGCUGGCAGCGUCAGCUCCUCUGAAAUGCAUUAGCUGAACCCUCUGCUGAGCGUUCUCGGUGUGAUAAUUUGUCUGCGCCGUGCACGUGAAGCGAACAUAGGAAGUUUGGCUUCUAAUUGUCCUGAGGGACUAUUCAUUUUUGACAUCUGACCUCAAAUCAGGUAGGACUACCCGCUGAACUUAA
rnacentral:misc_RNA from 1 species